rnacentral:rRNA from 1 species
GAUGAACGCUAGCGGCAGGCUUAACACAUGCAAGUCGAGGGGUAUAGUAGCAAUACUAGAGACCGGCGCACGGGUGCGUAACGCGUAUGCAACCUACCUUUUACAGAGGGAUAGCCCAGAGAAAUUUGGAUUAAUACCUCAUAGUAUAUGUUUUUCGCAUGUUAGACAUAUUAAAGUUCCAACGGUAAAAGAUGGGCAUGCGUCCUAUUAGCUAGAUGGUAAGGUAACGGCCUACCAUGGCAACGAUAGGUAGGGGUCCUGAGAGGGAGAUCCCCCACACUGGUACUGAGACACGGACCAGACUCCUACGGGAGGCAGCAGUGAGGAAUAUUGGACAAUGGGCGCAAGCCUGAUCCAGCCAUGCCGCGUGCAGGAAGACGGUCCUAUGGAUUGUAAACUGCUUUUGUACGGGAAGAAACACUCCCUCGUGAGGGAGCUUGACGGUACCGUAAGAAUAAGGAUCGGCUAACUCCGUGCCAGCCGCCGCCGUAA